CCCCCUAAUAUUGCACCUCUAGCCCUGCUGGGCAACCUGGAUUUGAACCUCGGGUUCCCUGCAAUAAAUGAGCUUUGUAGUGGAGGGCUGGGGUUAUUUUUGGCAGGGUAACAUUUGUUGUGUUCCAUUUGCAGCUCUGUCCCCUGUGCUCCUGCCCCGCUCCAGCCUUGACCACUGCAGGCACAGAGCUCUGCCCACCCCAAAAUUCCACAGGAGAGCCAUCCACGGAUUUUUAAAGAUGCUGCAGCACGAAUUUUGGCUGGUGAAAACUUUGGGAAAAGCUGGACUCUUUUAAGCCCUCGAGCAGCAAGCACGGUGUUAGCAUUCCCAAAAAGCACCAUGGCAACCUCUCGGUGCCCUUGCCUUCGUGGUCAGCAAGCAAAAGUCUCCAAAGAGAGGUUCCAGGUAUCAGUGCCAUGGUUUACAGCUCUGCAGCUCCUCAGGACAAGGAGAGGAUGUGGGAUCACACAAGGCUGCUUCUGUGUUUCAGGAAGGCACAUGCCCCAAACACAUGCAGGUAGUUCAGAAAUGAGGAAUCUUCUUGGCACCUUCUAGACACUACCUUAUUUCCCCCCCAUAAAUCUUUUUGCAGAUGGAAGUGCAGAUUUUCAGCUGCAUUGAUUCCCAUCCAACACAGAGAUUUUUUUUUUUUUCCAUGAGGGUUGGGUUUUUUAACCUGUUUGGGACUUCUUUAGGAGCAGCUUUGUGAAUAAUCCCAAAUAGGCACACAGUCUUUUUCUUUCUUUCUUUCUUUCUUUUUUUUUUUUUUGGUGUU